rnacentral:rRNA from 1 species
UACAGAGGGGGCAAGCGUUGUUCGGAAUUACUGGGCGUAAAGGGCGCGUAGGCGGCCUGCUAAGUCAUACGUGAAAUCCCAUGGCUCAACCAUGGAACUGCGUGUGAUACUGGCGGGCUUGAAUUCGGGAGAGGGAUGCGGAAUUCCAGGUGUAGCGGUGAAAUGCGUAGAUAUCUGGAGGAACACCGGUGGCGAAGGCGGCAUCCUGGACCGAGAUUGACGCUGAGGCGCGAAAGCCAGGGGAGCAAACGGG